CCUACCUACCUACUUAUUUCUCCCCUUUCUCAUCUACUAGAUUUGAGGUUUUAAUUGUGGGGAGGUUAUUUGUGUCUAGAUCUGUUUUCGAUCUUAGUUUUUUACCCAAAUAUCCUUGGAUUUGUGGUUUUGUUGGUUGAUCUUUUCUUGUAGGGUGACUGGCCGCAAUCUCGGUUGUGCUCUCUACCUCCAAGGUGGCGAUGACGG
rnacentral:lncRNA from 1 species